AGAGUUUGAUCAUGGCUCAGAACGAACGCUGGCGGCGUGGAUAAGACAUGCAAGUCGAACGCUGAUUGUCGGGUAGCAAUAUUCGGCAGUCGGAGUGGCGCAAGGGUGCGUAACACGUGGGUAAUCUGCCAUGAAGUUUGGGAUAACUCGCUGAAAGGCGAGCUAAUACCGGAUGUGAAAAUUGGAAGGCAUCUUUUGAUUUUCAAAGCUGGGGACCGUAAGGCCUGGCGCUUCAUGAUGAACCCGCGGCCUAUCAGCUAGUUGGUGAGGUAACGGCCCACCAAGGCUAAGACGGGUAGCUGGUCUGAGAGGACGACCAGCCACACUGGAACUGAGACACGGUCCAGACACCUACGGGUGGCAGCAGUCGAGAAUUUUUCACAAUGGGCGCAAGCCUGAUGGAGCGACGCCGCGUGGGGGAUGAAUGGCUUCGGCCCGUAAACCCCUGUCAUUCGCGAUCAAACCUCGCUAUUUAAAAGAUGGCGAGCUGAUAGUAGCGGAAGAGGAAGGGACGGCUAACUCUGUGCCAGCAGCCGCGGUAAUACAGAGGUCCCGAGCGUUGUUCGGAUUCACUGGGCGUAAAGGGUGCGUAGGUGGUGAGGUAAGUCGGAUGUGAAAGCUCGGAGCUCAACUCCGAAAUGGCAUUGGAAACUACCUUGCUCGAGGGUUGGAGGGGGGACUGGAAUUCUCGGUGUAGCAGUGAAAUGCGUAGAUAUCGAGAGGAACACCAGUGGCGAAGGCGAGUCCCUGGACAACUCCUGACACUGAGGCACGAAAGCUAGGGGAGCAAACAGGAUUAGAUACCCUAGUAGUCC
rnacentral:rRNA from 1 species